rnacentral:rRNA from 1 species
UGCCGCGUGUGUGAAGAAGGCCUUAUGGUUGUAAAGCACUUUAAGCGAGGAGGAGGCUACUUUAGUUAAUACCUAGAGAUAGUGGACGUUACUCGCAGAAUAAGCACCGGCUAACUCUGU